rnacentral:rRNA from 1 species
UUCCAGACUCCUACGGGAGGCAGCAGUGGGGAAUAUUGCACAAUGGGGGAAACCCUGAUGCAGCGACGCCGCGUGAAGGAUGAAGUAUUUCGGUAUGUAAACUUCUAUCAGCAGGGAAGAAAAUGACGGUACCUGACUAAGAAGCCCCGGCUAACUACGUGCCAGCAGCCGCGGUAAUACGUAGGGGGCAAGCGUUAUCCGGAUUUACUGGGUGUAAAGGGAGCGUAGACGGUAUGGCAAGUCUGAUGUGAAAACCCGGGGCUCAACCCCGGGACUGCAUUUGGAACUGUGUGGCUGGAGUGUCGGAGAGGCAGGCGGAAUUCCUAGUGUAGCGGUGAAAUGCGUAGAUAUUAGGAGGAACACCAGUGGCGAAGGCGGCCUGCUGGACGAUGACUGACGUUGAGGCUCGAAAGCGUGGGGAGCAAACAGGAUUAGAUACCCCAGUAC